rnacentral:lncRNA from 1 species
GAACCGAUAAUCUAUGUCACACAUAGGCAACUUUACCGUGUCUCCAGGGUUUCACGACUCAAACCCGUGACCUAUAAGAUGUUGUCUGUAUGCCAACCCAUAUAUCAAUUUUGUUGUACUUAAUGAAGUAAUCUUGUACCUAGUAGUAAUUCUAAAUGAUGUUCUAAUCAAAUCCAUGUCAAACAGGGGUGACAAUGUACCAAGUAGACCUUGAAACCAAGAAAGUGGUUGUUAUUGGAGACAUAUUACCUUUCCAAGUUUUGGAGAGCAUUUCAAAAGUCGUAAAAAAUGCUGAGCUUUCGAGUUGGAACACUCCUCAAGAUGACUCGUUAUAAUGGGGAACCUACUCUAUGUUGAAUUCAUACAAGUAUUAGAGGAAAAAGGAGUUCAUUAUUCUCAACACUACUUCUUAUUCACUACUAUUUUCUUUUUCAAAUCUGCUUUGAAAUAUUUUUUUAUAGUCGAGGGUCUAUCAGAGAUAACUUUUUUAUCUUCACAAAGUAAGGGUAAAAUCUGCGUACACACUAUAUUUUUCAGGCUCCACCUGUAAAAAUACACUGAACUGUAUAUGUUGUUUGUUGUUGUAGUAGUGGAAAAGAAGGAGGAGAUAAAAGAGGGGGAAAAGAGCACAAAAUGUUAAUGAUUAAAGAAAAAAGGCUAUAUAUGCAAUAGUGCAACCACAUGUAUUCUGUAUCUUCAGCAUAAAAAUGAAGCAUAUGUACAUUUGGAGUGAUUUGUACAGAUAAAUUGUACUCCAAUAAGAUGUCAUGUAGUUUGCCUUGUAUUAUCCAUUUGUUUAACUUUCUAGAACCAGCUGUAUCAGAAAAGAAGAACUGCUUUUAUAUAUAUAUAUAAAAUAAUACUAGAGGGGGAUAUAAAAAUUUAAAAAGUGAUAGGGUGAUAGCCUUAUGUUGUAAAAUUCUACUCUGUUACUCUCUCUCUCUUGAUCUGUAAAAUUAUAUCGCUACUAUUUUAUCAAAUUAUGAAUUGACAUUACCCCAUUUUAUAUACUCUUUUUUUAAAAAAAUUCUUACUCUCUUCAUCUCUUCUCUCCAACAUUUUAAAGAUAUAGAUCUUUUCUUAACAAUUUUUUCUUUAACCUCACCCUGGCCACAAUUAAUUAUAUUUGCCCACUUUAACGUCUUUCUAGCAAUAUUUUGGGCUCAUCUUAACCGGUCUCUCCUAGAAAUUUACAGGUUGAUCCAUCAGGGUUAUUAAAAAGUUGAAAAGAUAGCCAAAUACUUAGAGUGAUUUUUUAGCUAUCUACAAACUAGCAACUAAGAAAUUAAAGAUAUAAAGAUAUAAUAUAAAGCUUUAAAUAAAUCGGGGUAAUAAACAGAAACAUAAUUUAUAAAAAUAAUAACUUACAUGUUUACAAGAGAGAGAUUUCCCUUUCGGUAAACCCAAAAGAGUUUACUGGACUUGGAAAUAAAAACUUGCACACUAAAGCAUAAAGUUUUAUUUAUUUUACAGAUUUGAGAUAGAAAAUACUAAAGCAUACAUAGGGGAAUAUUUUACAAAGAGAGUCGUGGAGAAUGGUUUUUCUGGUGUAGGUGAAGGGAAGAGAGUAUGUUUUUCUUCAGAUGGUUAU